rnacentral:rRNA from 1 species
AGUGAACGCUGGCGGUAGGCCUAACACAUGCAAGUCGAACGGCAGCACAGUAAGAGCUUGCUCUUACGGGUGGCGAGUGGCGGACGGGUGAGGAAUACAUCGGAAUCUACUUUUUCGUGGGGGAUAACGUAGGGAAACUUACGCUAAUACCGCAUACGACCUACGGGUGAAAGCAGGGGAUCUUCGGACCUUGCGCGAUUGAAUGAGCCGAUGUCGGAUUAGCUAGUUGGCGGGGUAAAGGCCCACCAAGGCGACGAUCCGUAGCUGGUCUGAGAGGAUGGUAAGCCACACUGGAACUGAGACACGGUCCAGACUCCUACGGGAGGCAGCAGUGGGGAAUAUUGGACAAUGGGCGCAAGCCUGAUCCAGCCAUACCGCGUGGGUGAAGAAGGCCUUCGGGUUGUAAAGCCCUUUUGUUGGGAAAGAAACGCAGCAGGUUAAUACCCCGCUGUUCUGACGGUACCCAAAGAAUAAGCACCGGCUAACUUCGUG